CUCCUUGGCUCUUUGUGUUUGCGGUUUAGGACUCAGUUGUUUACUGACAUAAGUGGACUUGGUUGUCUCUGAGUACAGUGGUGUGUUUUUGACGCUCAUCCAUCAUCUCUCAGGGCAGUCAAGGCCUUCCGGGACUAGCAGGCCCAACAGGACCACCCGGACCCCCAGGCUUUCAGGGGAGGCCUGGACCACCGGGGCCUCCAGGGCCCAAGGGUAACAUGGGCCUGAACUUCCAAGGAGAGAAGGGGAAGAAGGUAGGAACGGCGCUGUUGCGCAGCCCACUCGGCGCUCACAUUCUCACGUGCGCCGUUGUAACCGAUGCUGCUUUGUGCGUCUUCAUGUACGUGCAGGGUGAACAAGGAAUGCGUGGGCAACCGGGGCCCCCCGGCCUCAUUCGUGAGCAGAAGCAAGCGAGGGAUUCGGAGGUGCGGAGGGGAAACAAGGGGGAUCAGGGACCACCUGGUCCACCUGGGAAACCUGGGGUUCCUGGGCCUCUCGGUCCUCCCGGUGGUCCGAAGGGUGAGAAGGGGGAGCCUGGGGAACCAGGCAAGAGGGUAAGUGGCGCUCAUACGUUCCUGAUGCCCAUGGCUGAGGCAAACCAACCCGCAAGCCUGCGUCCUCCCGCGUGCACCGAGAAACUGCUCUUCGGGACCCCGAACUGCGAAAGAUGCGUGACGUUAACUAGGCGUUUUGCUACAGGCAGUAGGGCUCUGUUCCGAUGA
rnacentral:lncRNA from 1 species